rnacentral:rRNA from 1 species
AGAACGAACGCUGGCGGCAUGCCUAACACAUGCAAGUCGAACGAGACCUUCGGGUCUAGUGGCGCACGGGUGCGUAACGCGUGGGAAUCUGCCCCUUGGUUCGGAAUAACUCAGAGAAAUUUGAGCUAAUACCGGAUGAUGACGUAAGUCCAAAGAUUUAUCGCCAGGGGAUGAGCCCGCGUAGGAUUAGCUAGUUGGUGAGGUAAGGCUCACCAAGGCGACGAUCCUUAGCUGGUCUGAGAGGAUGAUCAGCCACACUGGGACUGAGACACGGCCCAGACUCCGUACGGGAGGCAGCAGUGGGAAUAUUGGACAAGUGGGCGAAAGCCUGAUCCAGCAAUGCCGCGUGAGUGAUAGAAGGUCCGUUAGGGUUGUAAACGUCGUUACCGUUUUACCCGGGAUA